rnacentral:rRNA from 1 species
GACGAACGCUGGCGGCGUGCUUAACACAUGCAAGUCGAACGAAGAGCGAUGGAAGCUUGCUUCUAUCAAUCUUAGUGGCGAACGGGUGAGUAACGCGUAAUCAACCUGCCCUUCAGAGGGGGACAACAGUUGGAAACGACUGCUAAUACCGCAUACGAUCCAACCUCGGCAUCGAGGAUGGAUGAAAGGUGGCCUCUAUUUAUAAGCUAUCACUGAAGGAGGGGAUUGCGUCUGAUUAGCUAGUUGGAGGGGUAACGGCCCACCAAGGCAAUGAUCAGUAGCCGGUCUGAGAGGAUGAACGGCCACAUUGGGACUGAGACACGGCCCAGACUCCUACGGGAGGCAGCAGUGGGGAAUCUUCCGCAAUGGACGAAAGUCUGACGGAGCAACGCCGCGUGAGUGAUGACGGCCUUCGGGUUGUAAAGCUCUGUUAAUCGGGACGAAAGGUCCUCUUGCGAAUAGUUAGAGGAA